UAUAGUUGAAGGUUCCCACCAUUG
rnacentral:siRNA from 1 species